GUUGGGAAAAAUCGUUUUUAAUACAGUGGCUUGAAGGGAGCUUUGACCUUGCACAUCAUUGCUUAUCAAAGCAUACUCAAAGCUGACAAAGCCUUUGAACAGGUCUCUAUUUCCUGCUCAGUUGGUUGGCCUUGCUGGCAGACUCAUUAAGUACUAGGUAAGAGUUGUCACUAAUGCCUUUCCUCUAUGUGUGUCUAGCAAGGUGUUGCAGUGCCUUUUUGUUCAUUAUAUUUGAUUCAAUUACCUAAUUUAUUGUUAAGUUGUACACCCCCACACUUUAAUACUUUAGUCCCAGUUAUGUUCCUACCCCUGGUUGCCAACCCACCCUGAUACCUGCCCCUUGUUCCCGAAUGUUCUGUGUUCCCCCUCCCAUUAAGUUGUCAAUCCUCCCUUGUGCCAACCCCUGCCUGCACCACCCCAUUUGGAAUUCUCCUAUUCCUCCAAGCCCCAUUGGCCCAUGUGCCCCACUCUCCACCCCUUGUCUUCCCCAUUGGCUUAUGCCUUAUGUAACCCUUCCUUCUGCUCCUCCCCUAAGUCUUCUCUAUUGGUUUAUGAUUUGUACAUGCCUCUUGCUCCUCCCCCCUAUAUAAGUUGCUGUACACUCUGUAUCUUUUGUCUUUCCUCCCUGGAACCUUCAGAAGAAUAAGUCUCUUUUGGAAGCCACAUGGAAGACCUCUCCCUCAUCCUUGCUCCUGCCCUCAACGCUGGACAGCUUGUGCUGUAGAGCAUAAUCCCUAAGCUGCCCUGCUUUCCAGGAGCAGCCCACUCUGGACUCGGUGCAGGGAGCUGGCUGGGGAAAAAUCCAGCACUGCAUCACAAGGAGUUUAGGAAAUGAGAGAUUAUGGGCAGCAGCUGUAUAUUUUCUGUUCCUCUGUGACCAAGGAUCCAUUUUAUUUCAUUUUGUAUUUAGGAAGUUUGUUACCUCCUUAUUUCAUGUGCACCAAGUUUCUUGCAGAUUUUUGAAAAUCUGGCCAUGGAAAAAUAUGUACUUUAUAAGCCUGUUGUGCUGAUGUGUUAUUAUGUUGUCACUACUUGAGGUGCCAGUGUGGGUAGCGUAAUAAUUUAUGGCAUUUUGGGGUCACUGUGCUGGCAGAACAUUUAGGUAGUAUUGGUUCUUUCAGGUGAUCUCUUAAUGGUUACUGGGUACCAUCCUGAUUCUCCUGACUUUCUGCCAGCAUUGUCCUGUGUUUGUUUCUGUCUUUGGCUUUUAACUCUGUGUAUUUUCACUUUUCUCAAAAGCAAGAUCCAGGAAGGGGGCGGGAGACAUGAGAAAUAUGAUUAAAGGUCUAGGUUAAAAUGUUAGAUAUUCUCAGUGCCUAAGGUGUAAAAACAUAGGUGGCACAAAACAGGCUUCAUGCUGACAUAGAAGUAGAGAGGUGACUCCUGUUCACCGUGACCUUGCAGUGACAGAGGACAAGUGAAUUUAACAGAACGGUUUGGUCUAAGCAGAGUGUAAAGCAGUGCUUCUGUACUUGUGUUGACAGUUGUUUAGCCUGUGGUACAUCUGUCUUCAGCUGUCCCUGCAUGAAAAAAAAUAAAGGUACUAAAAUCAA